AGGGUGAUAUUCAAAUAAUACUUUUAACGCAUCACCGCUAAAGCUGCAUCUAAGAAAAUUUAAAGGAUAAUUGCGACAACCGUAACUCUGGGGUCUUCAAAGCUGCGCACAGAGGAAAAUGGCCUUCUCCAAAUGCUAUAAAAAAAUGCAGGGAACAUCCCAACUCUUUAAACUACCUCUUCAAUUUAAAAGACGCAGACGCCAGAAAUAGGUUUUGGAUUUUACACACACCUGCCUUUACUUAUGCAGGUUUACCCUAAGCUUUAGGCUCCUUAGCUAACUGAAUGGCAUUACCUUCAAAAAGCUUUGAGCACAACGCUUUAAAGCUUUUUCUAAUUAUUGCUUCUCUCCGACAGCUCAGCAAAGAUAGAGUCGUUUUAGCAAGGGGACCCCAAACAGUAGAGACGAAGGAGAGCUAAACCUUCCUCCUAAGCACAAAGUAAUAAAGAAUAUAGAUGUCCACAAGUAUGCCCCUUAAA